UAUAUUGGCCACCUGCAGAGACAUGAGAGAACAAGAAAAUCAUAUUUUAUCAUGAUUUAUAAUUUUUCUAUUUCAUUUCAUAUAAACACUGAAUACAGGCCUACAUUUGUAGGUGUACAAAAAGUUCAAAAGCAUAAAACAGUGUUGUAAUCAUGCAGUUGUUGUUCAUCUGAAAGUCGUAUGAUAUUGAUGUUGGGCUUCAAUAAUGAGCAAAACAUCUGUAUAACAGCCACAUAAUGGUUAAUUUUGAACAAAAUAAUUAUGGGUAUUUCCAUUUUG
rnacentral:lncRNA from 1 species